rnacentral:rRNA from 1 species
UCGAGGGGCAGCGGAUCCCUCCGGGGAUGCCGGCGACCGGCGAACGGGUGAGUAACACGUAUGGAACCUACCCUUAACUGGGGAAUAGCCUUGAGAAAUCGAGGGUAAUACCCCAUAUCAUCUGAAAGAGGCAUCUCUUUCAGAUGAAAGCUCCGGCGGUUAAGGAUGGCCAUGCGGUCCAUUAGCUUGUUGGUGAGAUAACCGCUCACCAAGGCUACGAUGGAUAGCUGAUCUGAGAGGAUGAUCAGCCACAUUGGCACUGAGACACGGGCCAAACUCCUACGGGAGGCAGCAGUAGGGAAUCUUGGUCAAUUGGCGAAAGCCAGAACCAGUCAUGCCGCGUGCAGGAUGAAGGCCCUAUGGGUCGUAAACUGCUUUUAUUCGGGAAGAAAAAGUCUGUUUCCACAGACCUUGACGGUACCGAUUGAAUAAGGACCGGCCAACUCCGUGCCAGCAGCCGCGGUAAUACGGAGGGUCCAAGCGUUAUCCGGAUUCACUGGGUUUAAAGGGUGCGCAGGCGGCCAAGUAAGUCAGUGGUGAAAGCCUUCGGCUCAACCGGAGAAUUGCCAUUGAAACUACUUGGCUUGAGUGCAGCAGAGGUAGGCGGAAUGUAGCAUGUAGCGGUGAAAUGCAUAGAUAUGCUACAGAACACCGAUAGCGAAAGCAGCUUACCACACUGUAACUGACGCUGAGGCACGAAAGCAUGGGUAGCAAACAGGAUUAGAUACCC